CCAUCACCUAGGAGCAUUGCAGGUGUGGCUUCUGUGUCACAUGUUCUCAACAGGUGGCAGAAAGGAGAUAGGCUAUAUCUAUGCUCAGUGUUCUGACCUGUGAACAUCUGAAUGAUUAGCAGCCUAACAUU